rnacentral:tRNA from 3 species
GCUCCCAUAGUUUAACAGGAUAAAACGGCGGUUUCCUAAACCGCAGCUCGGGGUUCAAGUCCCUGUGGGAGCGCCA